rnacentral:rRNA from 1 species
CCUGUACCACCUAUAAUCGUUUUAAUCGAUGGGGGGACGCAGUAGGAUAGGCGAAGCGUGCGAUUGGAUUGCACGUCUAAGCAGUAAGGCUGAGUAUUAGGCAAAUCCGGUACUCGUUAAGGCUGAGCUGUGAUGGGGAGAAGACAUUGUGUCUUCGAGUCGUUGAUUUCACACUGCCGAGAAAAGCCUCUAGAUAGAAAAUAGGUGCCCGUACCGCAAACCGACACAGGUAGUCAAGAUGAGAAUUCUAAGGUGAGCGAGCGAACUCUCGUUAAGGAACUCGGCAAAAUGACCCCGUAACUUCGGGAGAAGGGGUGCUCUUUAGGGUUAACGCCCAGAAGAGCCGCAGUGAAUAGGCCCAAGCGACUGUUUAUCAAAAACACAGGUCUCUGCUAAACCGUAAGGUGAUGUAUAGGGGCUGACGCCUGCCCGGUGCUGGAAGGUUAAGAGGAGUGGUUAGCUUCUGCGAAGCUACGAAUCGAAGCCCCAGUAAACGGCGGCCGUAACUAUAACGGUCCUAAGGUAGCGAAAUUCCUUGUCGGGUAAGUUCCGACCCGCACGAAAGGCGUAACGAUUUGGGCACUGUCUCAACGAGAGACUCGGUGAAAUCAUAGUACCUGUGAAGAUGCAGGUUACCCGCGACAGGACGGAAAGACCCCGUGGAGCUUUACUGUAGCCUGAUAUUGAAAUUCGGCACAGCUUGUACAGGAUAGGUA